rnacentral:misc_RNA from 1 species
AAGGAGCACCAUUUUCCCCCGUCCCCGCAAAGAGUGCGGGAUCGUGAUGGUUGGGAUAUUUUUCGCCGGGUGCCUGUAGUGGGUGUUCGGUGGUGCAGAKUGUUUUASAAACAACAACGUCUUUGAUCAUCAACUGCCAGGAGCUUUGUGCUUCUGGUGGCCGGCCCUUUGGGUUGGGCACACUGUUGGGUCCUGAGGCAACAGGCCUGUUUUCGCCCCUGUGUGGGGUGGGUGUGUUGUCGCUCCAUCUUGGUGGUGGGGUGUGGUGUUUGUUUUGUGAAUAGUGGUUGCGAGCAUCUAACAAGCAAGRYKUUUGUCUUGUUUGUUUUGCAAUUUUUGUUUCUUGGUUUUUGUGUUU